GGCCUGGUGGUCUAGUAGUAUGAUUCCUUCUUAGGGCUGUGUUUCAGCAAUAUUGGAGGAGGUCCCGGGUUCAAUUCCCGGCCAGGCCC